UUUUGAUUGGUCGACCUGAUGAAAUCAUUGACAGACAUGGUAUGUGAUAGACGUUUAAGACGAUUCACCGAUGCAGUAUUCUCAACGAACCAGGCCUGCUUGAGAUGAAGACUGAGUGAAUGAUCAGAAGACAAUCCAUGAUCCGUUUCAUCGUCUGAGUCACAGCAACCUUCACAGCAGAAUCCUGCCAUGUUGCUUGGACCAUGCAUCAGUUUUCAAUUUCAGAUUCAGCAGCAAUAAACCUGUACUGAAACCGUUCGUCUCAUUUCACCUAGACACAGAUGAAGUUUUGAUAUUCUGUUCUGACUUCACCAUGACUGAACUUGGUUUCAAUGUCAGCUAUGCAUUAUCUGCUCGAUCAAUUUGUCGACAUUGCCGCAAGUAUAUUGACAAGAAAGCAUUACGAAUAGGUCAGUCUAUUCCCAACCAUUAUGAUGAAGAUAAUCGGGGGUGGGAUAACUUGAUAUAUUAUUACCAUGCUGUGUGCAUGUUUAAGAAGUUCGACCAGGACAAACCAAAGGACAUGAAGAUCAAGUCUCCCGAUGAUAUCAGCUAUGGGUUCGAUAACUUAAAACAGGAAGAUAAGAAGACCAUUCUGGAACUCAUUAAUGAUGCUAAUGUGAAGUGGGACAACUUAUUCCGACAGUUCCGUUGUCUCUGUGCAAAGUUAUCUGACGAAGACACGGGUGCUGGCAAGACGGCCAUCGUGUCGGACUUCCUCAAGAAGGGAAAUGCCGGCACUGGCUUCAAGGGCGAUGUCUAUCUGUUGAUGAAGUUCUUGUUGCCUGGUGUUGUCAAGACCGUGUAUAACCUCAACGACAAAGACCUUAUCAAGUUAUUCAGUCAGAUAUUCGGUACAAAUCUUAAAGCAAUGGAAGAGGAUCUAGAGCAGGGUGAUGUGUCGGAAACAGUCAGGGUGUGUUUUGAUAAAAGCAAAACAGUGACACCAUUGAAGAAGAGUGCCCUUACCUUACAAGAGGCAGACGACCUCCUGACUUCUUUGUCUCAAGUCACCAAGGAGAGUGAACAAUGCAAGAUGCUCACAAAAAUUGUUGCAAGAUGUACCAGCAAUGAUCUGAUGAUGGUGGUUCGCUUCAUCACACAUGACCUUGGCAUCAACGCAAAGGCAAAAUAUAUUUUAAGAGGUCUUCACCCUGAUGCUUACGAAGCAUUCCAGGUCUCUCAAAACCUGAAGGACGUCGUGGAGAGGGUUCAGUCUAACACAUUACAUCACAUGCCAGGCAUGGAGAAGAAGAAGACUGACAAAAAGACUGGACACGAUCACAGUAAAAGUGAUGGCGCAAAGCAAGGCAGCAGUGGCAGUAGUGACAGCGUGGAUGUUGGCGUCUCCAAGAAGAAAACACCGGUCAAGAGACCGACAGAGGGAUGAAGGGCAGACAACUCCUUCCAAAAAGUGCAAGACAGCACCAUCAGCCUGCCCUUCCAUGUCCAACAUCUUCACAGACUGCAAGAUAUUCCUGCCUGUAACCACAGACAAGUUCCAGGAGCUCAAGCAGUAUAUAAUAGAUUUUGACGGGGAAGUUUUGGACGAGACCAGCAAGGGAUCAGCUACACAUAUUGUCUCUUCUAAAGGAAAGAUUAGAACCGGUAGUAGCAAGGCCAAGGUCGUGACCCCUGACUGGCUGUGGCAGUCAAUCAAAAAGAAACAGCUUGCAUCUACUGAGGAGUUCAAGCCCUGAACUUGACAUUCAGAC
rnacentral:misc_RNA from 1 species